UAAAAGUUUUAUUCUUGCUUAAUUACUUAUUUUAAUUUAAUGUUAUAUGCAAGAUUUUAUGUUUUAUAAUUUCUUAAUGAAUUAAUUAAAUUAUUUNGUGCAGUAAUGAAUAUUAAAUAAUAAAGGGGAUUUUGAUUUAGUUAUUUUUAAUAGUGUUGAUUAAAUAUGUGCCAGCAGUCGCGGUUAUACAUAAGACACAAAUAAGUAUUUUUAGUUAUAUAGUUUAUUUAUUUAUUUAAUUUAAUUUGAUAAUUUUUGGGUAAAAUUUAAAUUUUUGUUUUUGUUUUAAGUUUAUAUUAAAUGAGGCUAUGAAAUCUAAAUUAUUUAAACUAGGAUUAGAUACCCUAUUAUUUUAGAUUUAAAAGUUUAAACUUGAGUAGUAUUAGAUAUGGUCUUGAAACUUAAAGAAUUUGGCGGUAUUUUAGUCUAGUUAGAGGAAUCUGUUCCAUUAUCGAUAAUCCACGUUGAACCUUACUUAAUAUAAUUUAAUAUGUAUACCGCCGUUUAUUUGAAGAUCUUUUUAGGGUUAAUUUUCUUUAAAUUUUAAUUGAUUUUAAUUCAGGUCAAGGUGCAGUUAAUGAUUAAGUGGUGAUGGAUUACAUUAUUUAUAAAAUAAACGGAUUAAAAUUUGAAAUUAUUUUAUGAAGGAGGAUUUAAUGGUAAUUAAUAAUUAGAAUUAUUUUUGUGAUUUUAGCUCUAAAAUGUGUACACAUCGCCCGUCACUCUCGUUAUUAAGAUGAGAUAAGUCGUAACAAAGUAGGUGUACCGGAAGGUGUAGCUAGAUUGAU
rnacentral:ncRNA from 1 species